AUUGAACGCUGGCGGCAUGCCUUACACAUGCAAGUCGAACGGCAGCACGGGAGCAAUCCUGGUGGCGAGUGGCGAACGGGUGAGUAAUAUAUCGGAACGUGCCCAGUCGUGGGGGAUAACGUAGCGAAAGCUACGCUAAUACCGCAUACGAUCUAUGGAUGAAAGCGGGGGAUCGCAAGACCUCGCGCGAUUGGAGCGGCCGAUAUCAGAUUAGGUAGUUGGUGGGGUAAAGGCCCACCAAGCCAACGAUCUGUAGCUGGUCUGAGAGGACGACCAGCCACACUGGAACUGAGACACGGUCCAGACUCCUACGGGAGGCAGCAGUGGGGAAUUUUGGACAAUGGGCGAAAGCCUGAUCCAGCCAUUCCGCGUGCAGGAUGAAGGCCCCCGGGUUGUAAACUGCUUUUGUACAGAACGAAAAGGUUUCUACUAAUACUAGGAGCUCAUGACGGUACUGUAAGAAUAAGCACCGGCUAACUACGUGCCAGCCGCCGCGGUAA
rnacentral:rRNA from 1 species